UUUAAUUAGAUGCAACGCGAAAAACCUUACCCACUUUUGACAUGGCAGGAAGAUUUCAGAGAGAAGAUUGUGCCCGAAAGGGAGCCUGCACACAGGUGCUGCAUGGCUGUCGUCAGCUCGUGUCGUGAGAUGUUGGGUUAAGUCCCGCAACGAGCGCAACCCUUGCCAUUAGUUGCUACGAAAGGGCACUCUAAUGGGACUGCCGGUGACAAACCGGAGGAAGGUGGGGAUGACGUCAAGUCCUCAUGGCCCUUAUAGGUGGGGCUACACUCGUCAUACAAUGGCUGGUACAGAGGGUUGCCAACCCGCGAGGGGGAGCCAAUCCCACAAAGCCAGUCGUAGUCCGGAUCGCAGUCUGCAACUCGACUGCGUGAAGUCGGAAUCGCUAGUAAUCGCGGAUCAGAAUGUCGCGGUGAAUACGUUCCCGGGUCUUGUACACACCGCCCGUCACACCAUGGGAGCGGGUCUCGCCAGAAGUGGGUAGCCUAACCGCAAGGAGGGCGCUUACCACGGCGGGGUUCGUGACUGGGGUGAAGUCGUAACAAGGUAGCCGUAAAGGGCGAAUUCUGCAGAUAUCCAUCACACUGGCGGCCGCUCGAGCAUGCAUCUGAGGCCCAU
rnacentral:rRNA from 1 species